rnacentral:rRNA from 1 species
UGGGGAAUAUUGCACAAUGGGCGCAAGCCUGAUGCAGCCAUGCCGCGUGUAUGAAGAAGGCCUUCGGGUUGUAAAGUACUUUCAGUCGGGAGGAAGGUGGUAAGGUUAAUAACCUUAUCAAUUGACGUUACCGACAGAAGAAGCACCGGCUAACUACGUGCCAGCAGCCGCGGUAAUACGUAGGUGGCAAGCGUUGUCCGGAUUUAUUGGGCGUAAAGCGAGCGCAGGCGGUUGAUUGAGUCAGAUGUGAAAUCCCCGGGCUUAACCCGGGAAUUGCAUCUGAUACUGGUCAGCUAGAGUCGUGUAGAGGGGGGUAGAAUUCCAUGUGUAGCGGUGAAAUGCGUAGAGAUGUGGAGGAAUACCGGUGGCGAAGGCGGCCCCCUGGACAAAGACUGACGCUCAGGUGCGAAAGCGUGGGGAGCAAACAGG